rnacentral:lncRNA from 1 species
CGUUCCUGGGAUGGUUUAUCGGAAGCACACACCCGUCCAUCUGUCCACAGCCACUGAUGAGCAUGAGUCCCAUGUGAGCACCUGGGUGCAGAGAGCAGAUAGGAGAGAUACGGAUGCAGCACUGUUCACAACAGCCAAGACAUGGAAUCAACCCAAAUGUCCAUCGACAGAUGAUUGGAUCAGGAAGAUGUGGUAUAUAUACACAGUGGAAUACUACUCAGCCAUGAAAAAGAAUGAAACAAUGCCAUUUGCAGCACCAUGGAUGGAACUAGAGACUCUCAUAAUGAGUAAAGUAAGUCAUAAAGAGAAGGACAAAUACCAUAUGAUAUCACUUAUAUCAGGAAUCUAAUAUACGGCACAAAUGAACCUUCCCACAUAAAAGAAAAUCAUGGGCUUGGAGAAUAGACUUGUGGUUGCCAAGGGGGAGGGGGAGGGACUGGGAGGGAUUGGCAGCUUGGGGUUAAUAGAUGCAAACUAUUGCCUUUGGAACGGAUUAGCAAGGAGAUCCUGCUGUGUAGCCCUGGGAACUCUACCUAGUCACUUAGGAUGGAGCAUAAUGAGAGAAAAUAGAAUGUGCACAUGUAUGGGUAACUGGGUCACCAUGCUGUACGGUAGAAAAAAAAUUGUACUGGAGAAAUAACAAUUAAAAUAAAAAAAUAAUUUAAAAAAAUUUUUAAGAGAAAUACAGAUUCAUAGGAGGCCGGCCUGAGGGUGGAGGGGCUGGGGGGAGGCCCCAGGACAUGCCAGCAGAGUGAUUCGGAUGCUGGGGACCCAGCUUGUGCUGCGUCUGCCUGUCCCAGUCCUCCUGUCACUGGGCUGGACCUCUGGCCCCCCAGCCACACAACGCAGCAGUCCUUCCAAAGACAAACACCUUUUUUUUGCUCACCGCUCGUUUCAGAUGGGAUCCAGAUCCUCAGCCCGGCCUGCAGCCCACAGCCUCCAGACCCAGGCCCACCAGCCCACUGGCCUCACUGUCCAAAGCCACCCACCCGCAGUGGACACCUGGUCCCCACACCACACCACACUGUCGCUAACCCCCAUGCCUUUGCACAUGCUGCUCUGUCCAGUGGGAAGGCUUUCCAUUCUCUUCAACCCUCAAAACUCAGCUCAAGGGUAACCCCACCCUUGGAAGGCUCGAGAUCUGACACCCCACCUCUCUGACUACAGUGCUUGGUCCUGCCUUUCCAUGCCACCUGGCCGAGAGCUGUCCCAUCUCAACACGAGCCUCUGGGCGCGGGGCCGGGGGUGUUCCUCACUGGAUCCAGCACAGCACACACUCCCGGCCUGAGCGGUGUGUGGACAGAGGGGUCCCGGGAGCAACCCCACAAGGAGGAGGGGGCGAGGGAGCCCAGCAGAGGCCCCUCCCAGCCUGGGGCCAGGAGACCGUCCCCCCAGGCCUCCCGCAACCGACAUGGCUGAGUCGUGCCCCCCCCCCGCCCCCCACAAAGUCAGGCCCACCCGGACCUCAGUGCUUGACCCCAUGAGGAAGCAGGGUCUUUACAGACGUAACGAGCCCAGGCAAGGUCAUAUGGAUUAGAAGCCCUAAACCCUUUUAAGAAAGCCACGUGGGGACACAGGGAAGGAUGUGGUGGCGGCGGUGACACAGCUGUAAGCCAGGGACUGCUGGCAAGGAGACAUGCUCUUCUAGAACCUUCGGAGGACACAACGCCCUGUCAACACCUUGACCGUGGACUUCUGGUCUCCAGAGGGAAUGCAGUCCUGAUGUCUCCAGCCCCCCACCCCCCGGAAGUGGUACUUUGUCAGGCGGCCCCCGGAGAUCAAGCUGAGUGCCAGGUGUUAUAAGGUCUCCGCGUCAAAUGUCAUUUAAGGUGCAACGACUUGGCAGGAGAGGGCUGUGGACCCCCUGGCACCUACCCUGAGGCACAGAAAGGCUAAGCAGCCUGGCAGAGGACGCAGAGCCCCGGAGACCAGGGCCAGCCUGUGCCUCUGGCUGAGGCUACCCUGGCCCAGCCCCCCGCAAGGAGCCCCAGCACCAGGGCACACAUGAUGUUCGCAGGAGCCCAGAGCACCCGGGCAGUGGCUUUGCAGAGAUCCCGGCCCCUGGAGAUGUGGGGGGCUGCCAGGGCCAGGACCUCCCUGGGACCACCCAGCUGUGCCUGCACCUGGCUUGGGACGUAGCAUGGCUCCCACUUUACGGAUGAGAAAACUGAGUCGCAGUCACCUCAAGGAAUGUUCCAGGUCUCCCAGCAACUUCAGGAUUCACACCAGCCCAGCCCGUGGCCCUGCUGGGGGAAGAGGGCUGGUCAUCGUCUGGGCAACUCCAGGGUCCUGGUCCUUCCUGCCAGUGACACGACUCUCUGAGCCUCAGUUUCCCUCCUGUGAAGGCUGGCAUCGCUGUCCUGGGAGGGAGGACAGGAGGCAGCAUGCUGAGGUCCUGGCCUCUACCGGCUUCACCGCAGAGACUGGUUCUGCCAGCAUAUUUCAAGAGGAGACACUAUUUCAGACCAGAGGCCAAUCCAUAGUUGAUGCCUUAGCAGCAGGACCAGAACCUAAUUAAUUUGUGCAUCCAGGCUAGGUAAAUAUUCACCACCGAUAAAUCUAACACGAUGGGCGACUGCAGCUGGCUCAGAAAUAUUCCAUUUUCAAGCUCCAGAAAGCCUUGCACAGCCUGAAAUGCUGCUGGCAGUCCCAGCUGCUGAUACGUGAAAUGCCGCAUUACAUACCCUCUCCUCCAGGAAGCCCUCCCUGGCUGCCUCCUUCACCAGACGUAUCUUUGAUAGAGCUGACAUUCCUUGUGCCAUGUACUGGGGCCAAGGAAAUAAGUUAGGGAUGGGACCAGCCCUUGGGGGGUCCCUUGUCAGGGACACACACACAGGAACAGGGUCGAUGCACAGAGCCCAGCUGGAGGCCAAAUCUGGUGGGAGCCUCAAAGGGGAAGCAACUAGGGGAGUCCAAGGAGAGAGCAGAGGAAGGGAAAUAGGGGGAGAGGAAGGAAGGGGAGGGAAGGGAAGGGGGGAGGGGAGAGGGAUCGAGGGAGGGGCUGAGACCUGGGCCCCGGGCAUCAGUGCAUGCAUGGCACUGUCCCCUGGUCACCGGCUUCUCUGGCUCCUCCUCUUCACCGGAAAUCCUUGUGGGCAGGGACCAGGUCUUAGUCUUCCAUUCAUUCAUUCACUCAUUCUUGUUUUAAAUUUUAUUUUAUGAUUUUUAUUUUCUCCAUUAUAGUUGACUUACAGUGUUCUGUUAAUUUCUGCAGUACAGCAAAGUGACUCAGUCACAUAUAGACACGUACACCCAUUCUUCUCCUCGCGUUACCCUCCGUCACGCUCCACCACAAGUGAUGGACAGAGUUCCCUGUGCUGCACAGCAGGACCUCACGGCUUAUCCGCUGCACAUGCAAUCCUUUGCAUCUACUAACCCCAGACUCUGAGGCCGUCCUGCCCCCUCCCCCUCCCUUUGGCAACCGCAAGUCUGUUCUUCACAGAUGAACUAGAGACUCUCGCUCAUUUAUUCAUUCACGGUGUUUCCUGAGCAUCCAGGGGCUCUGAGCACGGUCCUGGGUGCUGAAAACACAGCCCAGGCAAAGCAGACCGGGCCCCUGGCCUUGGAAGCUUCAUUCAUACCCAUCUCAGAGCCCUAUCCCUGCACCUGGCACCUGCAGAUGCCCAAUCAAUGCUUGGGAAGAAGAAUCUGACCCCGCAUGCGGGAUGUUGCCAUCCGAGCUGCUGGGCGUUUCUGGUGCUGCACGGCCAGUGGCUCAGCGAGAGCUGUGGGCCAGUGGAAAGGCAGGCCCACCAGACACCUCCCCAGGCUGGAUGCACAGCAGGAGGCACACCAUGUCCUGGCAGAACCGCAGGCACCCCGGUGCUCCAGAAAGCCAAAGAAGCGGGACCGGUGGGCAGGUGCGUCUUUGUUCCAUGGGAAUAAUUAGGUUGACCAACCCCGGGCUACACAGAAACAUGGCCAGUAGGUUUGAAAUGUGUCCUUCUUCCCUCAAACUCUCUCUGUCCCCCUGUUCAAGUCCUGACCGCAGAGACAGCGCCCCACUGCUUAGUCUGGAGCUGGAUUUCAUUGUGGAGCCAGUGAGUGAACGAAUGAACAAGGAAAUGAAUUAACAGACGUACCGUCGGGUCCAACCGCCUUGGUUUACAGAUGAGGAAACUGAGCCCACAAGUGGGAAGUCUCCUCUCGAGUUACAGAGAACUUUUCACAAGAGAUGGAGUCUGGCCAGAGGAGUCAGGGCUCCAGGCCAAGGUCCUCUCCCAUCACAGGGUCCAAAAACCAGGGAGGAAAGUCAUUUGGGCCAACAGCGCCCCUGUGGCGGGAGGCGGGGGGGGCAGGUGCAGCCGCAACAGAGGGAUCCCAGAAAGCACAGGGUGAACCCUGAUGCCCCCAGGCCCCUGCUGGCAAGACCCUGGCCCAUCCCAGGCUCCCUUCCUGGCGAGCCUGCUCACCUCUACCUGCGCCGGCUGGACCAGCUCGGGGCGGCGGACUGCGCACCCAUCCAGCCGUCGGGGGCGACCCCGAGCUGCAGGGCUCCUAGGCACCCUCUGCAGGUCUGGGCAUGCAGAGGCGUCUCUCGGGGCCGCGGUCCUACCCACCACGAGUACAGCUCCCAAAGCUGGAGGCGGAGCUGGCUUUGCAGGAACGCAGCUCUCCCUCCCCCACCGAUCACUUUUCUGAGGUUUGACCCACCGCGAUUUCCCUUUUCUGCUCUUGCAUUUGUCUUCCAAGAUGAUCCUCUCACGGAGUAUUGAUGCUCUACUAACAUGGAAAGACUGGGGAGAGAGCCGGGUUAUGAAAGCACGCACACUUUGAUUCAAAUAAAUUACAUGGAUUUUCGAUUCAGAUGCUCCACUUAGAAUGGCCCCUUCGUCCCAGCCCUCUCUGGGCAUCUCUGCUGCCAAUUCCCCUCCCUCAUUACGGCCACACCGAACAAAAGGUCUAUUCAGAACGCAGGCUAUUUGCAGGCCCAGGAUGGCCCCAAGUGCCGGCGUUCUCAGUGCUCGAUCGUUCGGUACAUCUCGUCCCUGGAAUGAGCUUCUGCAGAAGUAAGUCAGACUUCUGGGCUGGUGCAGAGGGAGACGGAAGGGCCCCUGCCUCGGGUCCCGCUUCUCUGAACCUCCACCGCCUCCCAUCAGCGGUCUGAGCCCCCUCUCGUCGCACCAAAAGCAAGUGACAGAAGGUUGACCAGCCCCAAAGCUUCCCUCUGAGCAGGAACUCAGUCUCUAUCUGACCCCUGGGGAGGAACUGUCUUUUCUGUGCUGCCCGGGCUCCUGUCGGGACGGCCGCUGCAGCUGGCGUGACCCCUAUGGCUCCUGCGCCAGCCCCCAAAGGAUCAACAAAUCCAAGCAGAACCGCUCCUGAACUUGGCGGCAGAGGGACGGACUUCCGGAGCCC